GUCUCGUUCUGUUUGAUCUGCAAGUGUUGUGGAAAUGACACCCGGUCUGAUACUUACACACGGAGCCACCAACGUGACAAAGCACUGCAAUCUGGAUUAGCCUCCGCGUGUGAAUGGCCGGAUCCAGGCCGAAUGAAGGCAGCAGGGCGCAGUCGGCUCGCAGAGGUGUAAACUCCGUGGUGUUCUUCGGAGCCAGCUUGGAAGGAGUCAGGGUCAGGAACUGCUUCCAAAGGUUGGUUGGUUGCUGGGCCGGCUUACCCGCGGGGCUCCGGGUGUUUGCUCGCGGGAGGCUGGCUGGAGGUCGGGGUUCAGGGUUCCGACCCCUCUACACCCCAGGCUCCCGUGGGACAACGCCGGGAUCACACUAGAUGCCGGUUCCCUCUAGGCGGGGCCACCUUCCACCUCCCCUUCUUUGUUACUUUCCCAGGAACCGCUGCUUGCGGGAAAACGCAGCGCCCGGAGCCCAGGGGAAUCCAGCGCCCUCUCCGCAGAUCCCCAAGGCCAGAACUUCUCGGCCUUCUCCACGGAAACUCCGGGCCGGGGCCCAUUUGUAAACGCCAAUCAGUUUGCACAGGUAUGUAUUGUUCUGUAUUCAUCAGACACGGCUCUGGGAACCAAUAUAAAUAGAGCCCCCCUGAGGAGACUCUGCGGCCCUGUAAUCGCCACAUGCUUAUUCAAUAGACGUGGGGCGGAAAGAAGAGAGAGUCUUCUGCUAUUUAUUAAAAUAUCGCUGUCCAUUUUUCAAAUGCCACGGGCUGCAACGCACCCAGAGAGAAUUCUCCUUUACACAGCAUUCCUGAUUAGCAAAUAAACAGUCUCGAACGACAGACCCCAUUGUUUCGUUGGUAUUGCUGGUCUGAGAAACGUCCUCCGGAUUGUAUUAUGUCUGGCAGGCAUGGGGAGCCUUUAUUGGGUCCGGGCCGCUGACCCACAGAAAAAUCAGUCAGAGAAGAAGAAGAAGAGAAAAAACCCUCACGGACAUGGCCCCUGACUGAGAAGGAGAAAGACAUUCCCCUAGGGUGGCCCAGGCUAGCAGACUGUUUGCUCUAGCCCCCCAGUGGGCCGGGGAGCCCUGAGUCUGGGGGUCCCAUCCAGGCAAGCCGGGGGCUAUAUCCUGUCUGAAGUUCCCCACCCCUGCUGUAAGCGCCAGUGCUCUGGUGACUGUUAAAAACUUUUUUUUUUGGUCAUGACAAGCCUACAGGGUCAAGCCCUUUUUCCCCACGCCUGUCGCCCUUAUUCAUUCAUGAAGCCCCCAUUAACAUCACCCAGGCCACAUGUAUCUGUAACGCUAGCAGGGUUUGGUCCACCGUCUUGAAUGCACAAGUUCCUGUAUCUCGGGGAUGUUUCUGUACCAAUAACGCAGCUUCCCAAGGAGAGGGGCUCAGUUGGACAAGUUUUGCCUUGCAAAAUGCUCGCUCUAGCUAGCACUGGAUUUGUUCUGAGUUUAGGCCACCUCCCUUUUUUGGGUACAAGCUACAAUGUUACAUGCUUUCUUUAUGGUAGCGGUAGGCAGCUAACUGCACACACGACACUAUUUUCACUGGCCUAACAGAGCCACGUUCCUUUUCCUUUCGAGAUUGUAGCGAGACAUCGUAGAAGGGUGUGGUGUCUUUUGCUGGUUAUGGGAUCCCCUAUUCUUUUAGGAGUAUAUAGGGCUCGUUCUCUGAGCAAGAUCAACGCCCCUCUCUUUAAUUAGAAUAGUGUCGCUUGAAGUGCGCAGUUUCACAAGUGUCUGCAUUCUCACCGUGCAUUUUUAAAGUUUUGGGAAUGGCCGCCGCACGCCAAAGCUGUAUUUUAUUGAUGUUUGUUUUGCGUUAUUCGCCCGGAAAAUGCCACGUGAAAUAUGUAAAAUAAUGGCGAUGCAAUAAUAAAAUAGUCCCCUAACACGUGCUCACGCAUCCUACCGAACCACGUACAAAAACUCAAGCUGUUAAUGAUUGCUGGACGCUCGCCGCCCUGAAUUAAAUAUGAUUCAUUAGAAUUUAAUAACAGGUGCAAAGUAAUCUCUUUGCCAGGAGCGCUAGCGUGCACUGAACUAGGAAACUCAUGUUGGCUUACUAAAGGCUCCAGCUUGCUCGACUGUUUGUAAACCCAGUUGCGCGUUGGAUAGCGGUUUUGUCCCGGGGUGGGAGGAAGCGCUCUGUCUCUCUAGCUCUCUCUUCUGGAAUUUUUUAAAGCACUUUGCUUCAUUAAUUUGUUCCCGCCCAUGCAUAGGUGGAAAGCUGCUUCACUAGUAUUUACUUUGGAAAAUAGCGAUCUGAUCCACUGCAAACGGAGAAAGACUCCAGCGCUAAAGUUAAUCCAGAACAUUUCCAACGUGGAAUGCACUAGUUUAUUUCCCUCCGGUUCUGGCAAUAAAGUAAACAAACAAGCUGGAACCCUCAAGAAGCAAAAUGCUCUGAGCUAAAAAUAUAAAUUGUUUUUUAAAAUCCCGUCCCACUGCAUCCGCAUUCCAGCUGGCGGGCUGGACUUGAGAUAGAGUUUGGAAAGCACGCCGAUGAUUGCACCCAACUCGAGAGCAGGAUGGCUCCUAGCCGUCUGAUCUGACGUCAACAUGUCUUUAGGCUCUUGCUGGAAGAUAGAGGGAGCAGAAAUGGGGGAGGGAGAGCUAUAAUCACUCCCAGAUGUCUCUAAUAGCCGAUAUAAAGACGUAUAUCGUGCCUAAGAAUAAAUUUGUAAUCAGUGCUCUACAAUCUGAUCAUCAAAGCAACAAAAUUUCCUGGAGAAAAAACGGGGGAAAAACAUCAGACUGCAUUGGGGGAUGCCAGGGGAAGGGCCACAGCGACUUCCCAGAAAGCAACAGGCCUUUCAAAUCCGAAUGCUUUGUAGAAUUUAUGUGAAUAUGUAAUGCAGAUAACAACUAUGCUUUAAUCUCGAUUAUACCGUGCAAACUGGAACAGCUGAACAGUAAUUGGCCAAUUAGAAAUGGAAAAAGAUUGGAGCUGGUUUUGAAGGGGAAUGUAUUUCAUAGCCAGCAAAAAAUGAUAAGCCCUAGUUAUUACAGAGUGGAUUAUAGUUGAAGAAAUGUGGGAUUCGUUUCCUUUCCAUCACUUAAUGAAGGGAUUUUUUUCCGGGGGUAGGGGUGAGGGAGGAAGGAUUUAAAAUAUGUUUCCAGGCGCAAAAGAUAACAUAUUGUGUCAUUAAAAUGAUGCAGCGUCAU